AACGAACGCUGGCGGCAGGCUUAACACAUGCAAGUCGAACGCCCCGCAAGGGGAGUGGCAGACGGGUGAGUAACGCGUGGGAAUCUACCGUACCCUACGGAACAACAGUUGGAAACGACUGCUAAUACCGUAUACGCCCUACGGGGGAAAGAUUUAUCGGGGUAUGAUGAGCCCGCGUUGGAUUAGCUAGUUGGUGGGGUAAAGGCCUACCAAGGCGACGAUCCAUAGCUGGUCUGAGAGGAUGAUCAGCCACAUUGGGACUGAGACACGGCCCAAACUCCUACGGGAGGCGGCAGUGGGGAAUAUUGGACAAUGGGCGCAAGCCUGAACCAGCCAUGCCGCGGGAGUGAUGAAGGUCUUAGGAUUGUAAAGCUCUUUCACCGAUGAAGAUAAUGACGGUAGUCGGAGAAGAAGCCCCGGCUAACUUCGUGCCAGCCGCCGCGGUAA
rnacentral:rRNA from 1 species